rnacentral:lncRNA from 1 species
UGCAGGUUAGUUACAUAUGUAUACAUGUGCCAUGUUGGCGUGCUGCACCCAUUAACUCGUCACUUAACCCUAGGUGUGAAGGCUGGUCUUAAACUCCUGACCUCAAGUGAUGGACCUGUCUUGGCUUCCAAAAGUGCUGGAAUUACAGGCAUGAGCCACCAUGCCCUGCUGUAAGUUGCUUUUAAACGGCAGAUCCAUUCUAGCAUUCCUAUCUCCCUAGGCCUAUGAAUUCCUUCAUCCAACAUAAUACAGGGAAGAUGGGGGAAUCACCGACUUGCUCAUGGUCAUACAUCUGUUGAACUAUACUUCAGCCAACCUGUCAUAAAACUACUAAUACCAUCCUUAAAUACCCAAGCUGCAACAUUAAACCGGAAUAUCUGCUUAAUGGCCCCAUAUCAUUAAAUUUGGACCGAUUCAAGUUUAUAUUCCUUCUACUGUUAUCAACGCUUUUUUUUUUUUCUUGUUUUGGUUUCUUACAGAUGAGGUCUUGUUCCUUUGGCCAGGCUGGAGUGCAGUGGCACAGUCAUCACUCACUGUAGCUUCAAACACCUGGGUUCCAGCAUUCAUCCCACUUCAGCCUCCCGUGUAGCCGGGACUACAGAUCCCUACCUUUUUUGUUGGAGAAUGAAAUUUAAAAUGAAGAUUUGGGCACUCAUUGGUUGUACACAUUGUUACUGGUGAACGUGUUGAUUGGAGGCCUUCCUAGCUAACAGAGCAAAGAGUAAAUAUACACAUAUGUUUACAAAUUUCUACAAGUCUCCAUAUGUAUCUGCAUUAAAUUAAACAUGAAUUCCUGCAGCGUCCUCAGUCCCACACGAUCUUAUUCAGCACCAUGUGAAUCUGUCUACCCAUCUCACUAAUCUAUAUGUAGCCUACCACUGUAAUAUUUAACCACCUGAAAAUGCAGGCAUAGUGGUUUCAGAAUAAGAAACACACAACCCCAUGAGAAACACCCUUACCACCUGUUUAUGUAUACCAACUGCUUAUGUAUAAAUCCUUUAGCCUUUAGACAGAAUCUGCACUUAUUAUGCAAGUUGCUUAGGAAGGCUUAUUUUUCCCCUUCCUUCAGUGGAUUAUUUCAUAGAUUUGUAUAAAGUAUUUUCUCUGCAUUUCUUCCUGGACUGUUCCUAUCUACUAAAUAAGUUAUUUUGUUAAUUUACAUACUUUUAGCUUCACUCUUUGUGUUAUAAAGUUUUCUGGGAGUUGAAAAACUGUACCUUUUAUCCACGUUACAGUAGCAUACAUAAUAAUAUACAAAGAGAAAUUUUCUAUCUUUACAGAUUUGUCUUUCCUUUUUGCUGAGACCCGGGUAACCAAUAAACUCUUUA